rnacentral:tRNA from 9 species
GGCCCCAUGGUCAAGCGGUUAAGACAUCGCCCUUUCACGGCGGUAACACGAGUUCGAAUCUCGUUGGGGUCAUCA